rnacentral:lncRNA from 1 species
UUGAAUAUAUCAUCCAGGAAGUGUCCUGACACAGAUCCAUCAAUCCGUUGUGGACACUCAACUUGUCUGCAGAACCGCCUACCUCUUCCUUAGUUAUGCAUUUUACGACUGUCUUCGUUCCCUAAACGCAACACUGACUCAAUAAAACGCCUAAUACGUCAGACGUUCGUGUUGAACGUCUGUGGCGGGAAUAGCGGCAUAGUCUGAAACUCGACAGAAACCAAUAAAAGUAAGACAAAGACUCAAGAUACUGUGUUGAACUGGUUCGGACUUGGUGGAAACAGCCUCUAAAAGGAAAACUUGCAUUGUUUUAGAGGCCCAUAAUGGACAUCAGAGGGUCGAGGCAGAGGAAUAUAGACCAGGCAGGACUGGGCUAGUCCUGGUCCCUGGAUGGGACCAAUGAAGUGGAUGCAAGAAUGACUGAUGGGUGUUCCAGCCAGGUGAUGAGAGAUGCUGACGCCAGUGCCAGGAAGUCUUUAACACUUUAAAGACUUUAAAGUGAGUACAAUGUUUUAGAGCAUUAACUGUAGUAUUCUACAGUUAAUGUUUUUCUCUUCCAUUGGCCUUAAAGGUGUCUCCCAGAGAAGCUAGUACACGGCAUGC